rfam:Triticum aestivum genome assembly, contig: Triticum_aestivum_CS42_TGACv1_scaffold_643825_T_5BL-0.029771_2AS-0.029414
CAAGUACUCCCUCCGUCCGAAAAUACUUGUCAUCAAAAUGGAUAAAAAAGAUGUAUCUAGAACUAAUAUACAUCUAGAUACAUCCCCUUUUAUUCAUUUUGAUGACAAGUAUUUCUGGACGGCGGGAGUACUAC